AGUGAACGCUGGCGGCGUGCCUAAUACAUGCCAGUCGAGCGAACAGACGAGGAGCUUGCUCCUCUGACGUUAGCGGCGGACGGGUGAGUAACACGUGGAUAACCUACCUAUAAGACUGGGAUAACUUCGGGAAACCGGAGCUAAUACCGGAUAAUAUAUUGAACCGCAUGGUUCAAUAGUGAAAGACGGUUUUGCUGUCACUUAUAGAUGGAUCCGCGCCGCAUUAGCUAGUUGGUAAGGUAACGGCUUACCAAGGCAACGAUGCGUAGCCGACCUGAGAGGGUGAUCGGCCACACUGGAACUGAGACACGGUCCAGACUCCUACGGGAGGCAGCAGUAGGGAAUCUUCCGCAAUGGGCGAAAGCCUGACGGAGCAACGCCGCGUGAGUGAUGAAGGUCUUCGGAUCGUAAAACUCUGUUAUUAGGGAAGAACAAAUGUGUAAGUAACUAUGCACGUCUUGACGGUACCUAAUCAGAAAGCCACGGCUAACUACGUG
rnacentral:rRNA from 1 species